GAAUGCCGGCGCUAUAAUGCAGUCGAGCGAUGGAUUAAGAGCUUGCUCUUAUGAAGUUAGCGGCGGACGGGUGAGUAACACGUGGGUAACCUGCCCAUAAGACUGGGAUAACUCCGGGAAACCGGGGCUAAUACCGGAUAACAUUUUGAACCGCAUGGUUCGAAAUUGAAAGGCGGCUUCGGCUGUCACUUAUGGAUGGACCCGCGUCGCAUUAGCUAGUUGGUGAGGUAACGGCUCACCAAGGCAACGAUGCGUAGCCGACCUGAGAGGGUGAUCGGCCACACUGGGACUGAGACACGGCCCAGACUCCUACGGGAGGCAGCAGUAGGGAAUCUUCCGCAAUGGACGAAAGUCUGACGGAGCAACGCCGCGUGAGUGAUGAAGGCUUUCGGGUCGUAAAACUCUGUUGUUAGGGAAGAACAAGUGCUAGUUGAAUAAGCUGGCACCUUGACGGUACCUAACCAGAAAGCCACGGCUAACUACGUGCCAGCAGCCGCGGUAAUACGUAGGUGGCAAGCGUUAUCCGGAAUUAUUGGGCGUAAAGCGCGCGCAGGUGGUUUCUUAAGUCUGAUGUGAAAGCCCACGGCUCAACCGUGGAGGGUCAUUGGAAACUGGGAGACUUGAGUGCAGAAGAGGAAAGUGGAAUUCCAUGUGUAGCGGUGAAAUGCGUAGAGAUAUGGAGGAACACCAGUGGCGAAGGCGACUUUCUGGUCUGUAACUGACACUGAGGCGCGAAAGCUUGUGGAGCAAACUGGAUUAGAUACCCUGGUAGUCCACGCCGUAAACGAUGAGUGCUAAUUGUUAGAGGGCUUCCGCCCUUAA
rnacentral:rRNA from 1 species